rnacentral:rRNA from 1 species
UACGGGGGGGGGCAAGCGUUGUUCGGAAUUACUGGGCGUAAAGGGCUCGUAGGCGGCCAACUAAGUCAGACGUGAAAUCCCUCGGCUUAACCGGGGAACUGCAUCUGAUACUGGAUGGCUUGAGUUCGGGAGAGGGAUGCGGAAUUCCAGGUGUAGCGGUGAAAUGCGUAGAUAUCUGGAGGAACACCGGUGGCGAAGGCGGCAUCCUGGACCGGCACUGACGCUGAGGAGCGAAAAGCCAGGGGGAGCAAACAGG